GAUGAACGCUGGCGGCGUGCCUAAUACAUGCAAGUCGAGCGAACAGACGAGGAGCUUGCUCCGCUGACGUGAGCGGCGGACGGGUGAGUAACACGUGGAUAACCUACCUAUAAGACGGGGAUAACUUCGGGAAACCGGAGCUAAUACCGGAGAAGAUAUUGAAGCGCAGGGGGGAAUAGUGAAAGACGGUGGUGGGGGCACGUAUAGAGGGAUCCGCGCCGCAUGGGCUGGUUGGGAAGGUAACGGGUUACCAAGGCAACGAUGCGUAGCCGAGCUGAGAGGGUGAUUGCCCGCCCUGGAGCUGGGACACCCUCCAGACUCCUACGGGAGGCCGCAGUCGGCAAUCUUCCGCAGUAGGCGAAAGCCUGACGCAGCAGCGCCGCGUCAGUGACGACGGUCUCCCGAUCGUAAAACUCUCUUAUUAGUGAAGAACCACUGUGUCCGUAACUAUGCCCGUCUUGACGGUACCUAGUCAGAAAGCACCGGCUAACUACGUG
rnacentral:rRNA from 1 species